UACCUAUGUCAAAUUGACGUUUAAUAAGACUUAGUAAUAUUUUUAUAAAAUUUAUUGUAUUCAAAUAACUUUCCAAUAUGUCUUGGUUGUCGGGUCCUGCAAGUGUAAACAAUUAUUACGAGUUCAUUGAACUACAACGAACAUUAGAAAAAGUAAUUUAAUCGGGCGGUGUGUGUGAUGUUGUGGGCGGUAGCGGCUUUUGUGUUAGCACUGGGCCUGGCGCCGUGCGUGGUGCAGCGCGCCUGUCCACCGGGUACUCCGCGACCGCCUUCCUCCGUCUGUAUGCACCGACUACACGCGCAUCAGUGUUCAAAAAAAUGAGAAUAAACUGUCGCUCAGUCCUCCAGUCCUCUGUCUAACACAAAAUCAUAAAUAAGUUCCAUAAAAGCAGGGUGCGAUGUAUGAGCGGAUAUAUGGCCGUGUUGUGCGGAUUGCGCGCGAGUGCUAUUGCCGACGUUGCUGCGGGUGUCGCUGGUUGCUUUGUUGCUUCUCUUGCCGUUGUACUUGUCAUCGCACCACUGACUGAAAGACGAGACAUGGAGACCGCUCUGCUUUUCACGCUCUUAGCUCUUCA